rnacentral:rRNA from 1 species
UACGUAGGGUGCAAGCGUUGUUCGGAAUUACUGGGCGUAAAGCGCGCGCAGGCGGUUCUCCAAGUCAGUGGUGAAAGCCCGGAGCUCAACUCCGGAACUGCCAUUGAAACUGUUGAACUUGAGGACGAGAGAGGUGAGUGGAAUUCCCAGUGUAGAGGUGAAAUUCGUAGAUAUUGGGAAGAACACCAGUGGCGAAGGCGGCUCACUGGCUCGUAUCUGACGCUCAGGCGCGAUAGCGUGGGGAUCAAACAGG